AAUGAACGCUGGCGGCGCGCCUAAUACAUGCAAGUCGAGCGAGAAGACGUAGCAAUACGUUUGUAAAGCGGCGAACGGGUGAGGAAUACAUGGGUAACCUACCCUCGAGUGGGGAAUAACUAGCCGAAAGGUUAGCUAAUACCGCGUACGCUCCUUGGACUUCGGUUCAGGGAGGAAAGCGAUACCGUGGGUAUCGCGCCCUUGGUUGGGCUCAUGUCCUAUCAGCUUGUUGGUGAGGUAACGGCUCACCAAGGCUUCGACGGGUAGCUGGUCUGAGAGGACGAUCAGCCACACUGGCACUGCGACACGGGCCAGACUCCUACGGGAGCAGCAGUAAGGAAUAUUGCGCAAUGGGCGAAAGCCUGACGCAGCGACGCCGC
rnacentral:rRNA from 1 species